CCACACUUCCCUGUCUCUCCCCUAUGUGCUAUUUAACAUAUACUCUCUUAAUAAUGCACCGAGUGUACUGCCUGUUACCGUGCCUAAGCACAUUCGAUAUCAUAUAUAUAUAUAUACAUAUAUACAUUUAUAUGCGUAUAUACAUAUAUAUAUAUAUAUAUACAUAUUUAAGCCUGUAAUACCGUUAUGUUGUUGUACCAUAUUAUUGUGAACACCAUUUCUCAGACAUCGAUUUUUUUAAAUAAAAAGAAAGUCUCUAUCUCGACAUGCACUAAAGCAGAGUAUCCGUCGGAACAAAGCGAAACAAAAAGGGGGAAAAAAAAAAGAAAGAAAGAAAGAAAA